GACGAACGCUGGCGGCGCGCUUAACACAUGCAAGUCGAACGGAAAGGCCUGCUUUCCCUUGUGGAUUGCGGGUACUCGAGUGGCGAACGGGUGAGUAACACGUGAGUGAUCUGCCCCCAACUUGGGUAUAAGCCUGGGAAACUGGGUCUAAUUCCCGAUAGGACUGCAGGGUGGUGCCUGUGGUGGAAAACGAUUUUCUAGUGGUUGGGGAUGAGCUCGCGGCCUAUCAGCUUGUUGGUGGGGUAAUGGCCUACCAAGGCGGAGACGGGUAGCCGGCCUGGGAGGGUGGACGGCCACAUUGGGACUGGGAUACGGCCCAGACUCCUACGGGAGGCAGCAGUGGGGAAUAUUGCACAAUGGGCGGAAGCCUGAUGCAGCGACGCCGCGUGGGGGAUGACGGCCUUCGGGUUGUAAACUCCUUUCGACCGCGAGGAAGCCACCUGGUUGGAAGGGUGGUGACGGUAGUGGUAGAAGAAGCACCGGCUAACUACGUG
rnacentral:rRNA from 1 species